AUUAGUAAAUCUCUUGUGUUGUUGUUUAUGAUUUGGGUGUUAAAUUCUUUUGAGGAAUUAGGCAAAAGUUUUCAUGUCCGCCUGUUUAACAAAAACAUCUUUUCUCGUUAGUUUUUGAAGUAUGGCCUGCCCACUGACGUUUAUAAUUAGUUGAAGGGCCGCGGUAUUUUGACCGUGCAAAGGUAGCAUAAUCAUUAGUUCUUUAAUUGUGAUCUGGUAUGAAUGGCUUGACGAGGCAUGGGCUGUCUUAAGUGGUGUGAAUAAUUUAUUGAAUUUGGUUUUUGAGUUAAAAUUCUUAAAUGUUUUUAUGGGACGAGAAGACCCUAUAGAGUUUGACAUUUAAUUUAUUCUUUUUUAGUUGUUUGUUGUUUAAGUUGAUUAAUUUGUGUGUUUUGUUGGGGUGAUGGGAGGAAUUUUCUUAACUCCUCUUUAUUUUGGUAUACUUAUUUGUAUAUAUUUUGAUCCUUUAUUUUGAUUAUAAGAUUAAAUUACCUUAGGGAUAACAGCGUUAUCUUCCUUGAGAGUUCUUAUUGGCGGGAAGGUUUGCGACCUCGAUGUUGGAUUAAGAUGAAUUUCCGGUGCAGGAGCUGGAGUGUGAUUGGGUCUGUUCGACCUUUAAAAUCUUACAUGAUCUGAGUUCAGACCGGCGUGAGCCAGGUUGGUUUCUAUCUAUAAUAAUGUUUAUACCUUAGUACGAGAGGACCGGGUAUUUGGAAUAAUUUUAUUUAUGUUGGUUUAUCAUUAA
rnacentral:rRNA from 1 species